rnacentral:lncRNA from 1 species
CGAGCUCAGAUUCCCGGAGGAAGAAAUUAGACUCCAUUCCUCAACUGAAAGAGUAGCAAAGAAUUUACAGCCAUAUUUAAUUAAUCACACACCCCUAACUCCAAAUAGAUAAUUUGCAAAUAUUUUCAACUGAUCUGAGACCCUGAAGAUUUAUGUGUGCAGUUACCACCACAGCUGUAGACAUCAUUCACAGGGCAAAUCUCAUCAGCAGUACAGACGGUUGCUAUACUACUGGUCCAAUUUCCCCUAUUAAAUUUUGGUUCAAUGAUUUCUUCUCUAUCAACCUCAACAAUCCAUUUACUCAACAAUUGGCAGACAUCUAGUGUAUGUCGGAUACUGUACUACUCCUGAAGGAACCAAAGAGAUGGAAGAAGGAAUUAUGAUAUGACACCUACUAGAGAUGA